AGUGAACGCUGGCGGUAGGCCUAGCACAUGCAAGUCGAACGGCAGCACAGUAAGAGCUUGCUCUUACGGGUGGCGAGUGGCGGACGGGUGAGGAAUACAUCGGAAUCUACUUUUUCGUGGGGGAUAACGUAGGGAAACUUACGCUAAUACCGCAUACGACCUACGGGUGAAAGCAGGGGAUCUUCGGACCUUGCGCGAUUGAAUGAGCCGAUGUCGGAUUAGCUAGUUGGCGGGGUAAAGGCCCACCAAGGCGACGAUCCGUAGCUGGUCUGAGAGGAUGAUCAGCCAAACUGGAACUGAGACACGGUCCAGACUCCUACGGGAGGCAGCAGUGGGGAAUAUUGGACAAUGGGCGCAAGCCUGAUCCAGCCAUACCGCGUGGGUGAAGAAGGCCUUCGGGUUGUAAAGCCCUUUUGUUGGGAAAGAAAAGCAGCAGGUUAAUACCCCGCUGUUCUGACGGUACCCAAAGAAUAAGCACCGGCUAACUUCGUG
rnacentral:rRNA from 1 species